GCGGCGGUAGCUCAGGGGUAGAGCACCAGCUUCCCAAGCUGGGGGUCGCGGGUUCAAAUCCCGUCCGCCGCU
rnacentral:tRNA from 1 species